GGCUAUAAAUAUGUGUUUUCAGCCAUAAUUUUGACCACCACCCCUACCAUAUAUUUUUGCAUCAUUCACCACACACACCUCAUUGUGCCAUAGCUUUGCAAGGAGAUAGGAGAGGAGACCCCUAGAGCUGUGCUUGCCAUUCAAGACGUUGGAGUGUUGGAGCGUUUCUAGGUGUAUUCUAUCUUUGAUUUCAAUGUUUAAUUUAAGUUAUCUUUGUUUAAUUGCGAAUAUGUGGAACUAAUUUCUUUAUAGUUGGAGGUGAAUUCGAAGCCAUGAUUAUAUGCUUAAUAUGAAUUGAUUACAUCUAGUUAUUGUUUCUAAAGUCUUGAAUGUGAUUUGCUUAUCUGAGUUAUUAAAACUUGUUUAUGUAUGUUAAUUGAGGGUGCACACUUAGUUUGCAUGCAUGAACUUGAUGCUAGAGUAUAGGGGAGUUUCACCUAAUUGUUAUGAACUUAUAUUCACAAGUAGUAGAGGUUGCUAGUCACGAUCGUGUUAAGUGAAUCCUUGGCAGGAGUAUCAUGCUUUUCAUAGUUACGAAUGCCUCGUUAAUGCUUAUGGUUUUCAAAGAACUUAAUGACCUUUGAUAUAUUUUCUAUCAUGCUUUUCAUAGUUAGGGAACUUGAUAAGGAUAAUUUGGUUGUGAGGUGUAUCCCGUCCAAUUCAAUGAAAUAAGGAAAAUCUUAUGGUUAAUUUGUGCUAUCACAGUUAACUUGGGGUGUUGUCAUUCAUAGUCUAAAGGAAUAAUAACUGGAAAUUGGUUUUUUUGCAUAUGUCAUGUGUGGAGAAGGGCCCUCUAACUAGUCAUUCACCCAUUUAAUUCACCAAUUUCGUCCAAAGUAUUUAGAGUCUUUAAUUCUGUUUAGUUUUACUUUAAAUUCAUCAAAAACCCAAUCCCCUUUACUUUGUUGAGUCAAGUUAGUUAAAAUCUGUCUAAUUUGUGUUUUUAAGUGUUUUUAAGUAUUUUAAGUCAAGUUUAAAUUAAUUUUCGUCCCCUCUAGUGUCUAGUUUGAGUCUAUUUGAUUGUUUUGUGCUGUUUUGAGUCUUUUUAGUUUGUUUUGAGUUCUUUAAGUCUAGUUUUGUGUUUUUGAGUCAUAUUUGUGUAGAUUAGUAACCCAAGUUAAUCCUUAGCCUAGAACGAUCCUUACUUUCAUAUACUACAACUAUCUUAAUAGGGUUUAAUUUGUGUGUUAGAAUAUUUCACAUCAAAUUUUGGCACCGUUGUCGGGGAUUAGCAAAAUUGCUAAUCUCCCUUUGUUUCUGUUCGUGUCUUUUACUUUUGAUAUUUGAUUUAGUUUUCUUUCUUUGAUUUAAGGUACUAGAGAAGCAAGAUAUGGCAAUUGCUAACAUUCAAGCUCAAAUAGCGAAUCUUACUUCUCAAUUGUCGCAGUAUGCCGAAAGGACCACAAGGCAAAGUGUCCCUAUAUUUAGUGCGUCUUAUAGCUAAGAAUAUCAAGCAAAACAACGUCCACAAAGAGAUUUGAGUGAUCAUUCAAACUCUAUGUGGUGGGAAUCUCAACAAGUUCAACACGAAGGAUAUUGGCAGCCAUAUGAGGAGUUUUAUUCAAGCCCUACGCAGCCACCACAACCUCAUAUACAAUAUGCCCAACCAAACUCAAGUUCGUCAAUAGAUUGUGAUCAAAUUCUUGAUGAAUUAAUUUCUUUGGUGCAGGGCUCACAAAAUCAAGUCAAGAAGGCUCAAUAAGGAGAAUAUUGGUAGCCAUAUGAGGAGUUCUAUACAACGCCUAUGCAGCCACCACAACCUGCCCUGCAACAAUUCCAACCAAAUUCAGGUUCGUUAAUAUAUUGCGCUCAAAUUCUUGAUUUACUAACUUUUUUGGUGCAGGAAUCACAAAAUCAAGCCCAAGUGAUGAGCAAAUUGAAGAAUCAACUGGGAGAGAUCAUAGAAUUCAU
rnacentral:lncRNA from 1 species